AAUCACUGGACGAGGAGCCACCUCCUCCUU
rnacentral:sRNA from 1 species